UGGGGAAUCUUCCGCAAUGGACGAAAGUCUGACGGAGCAACGCCGCGUGAGUGAUGACGGCCUUCGGGUUGUAAAGCUCUGUUAAUCGGGACGAAUGGUUCUUGUGCGAAUAGUGCAAGGAUUUGACGGUACCGGAAUAGAAAGCCACGGCUAACUACGUGCCAGCAGCCGAGGUAAUACGUAGGUGGCAAGCGUUGUCCGGAAUUAUUGGGCGUAAAGCGCGCGCAGGCGGAUUGGUCAGUCUGUCUUAAAAGUUCGGGGCUUAACCCCGUGAUGGGAUGGAAACUGCCAAUCUAGAGUAUCGGAGAGGAAAGUGGAAUUCCUAGUGUAGCGGUGAAAUGCGUAGAUAUUAGGAAGAACACCAGUGGCGAAGGCGACUUUCUGGACGAAAACUGACGCUGAGGCGCGAAAGCCAGGGGAGCGAACGGG
rnacentral:rRNA from 1 species